AGAGUUUGAUCCUGGCUCAGGAUGAACGCUAGCGGCAGGCUUAAUACAUGCAAGUCGAACGGGAUUUGAGUAGCAAUAUUCAAUGAGAGUGGCGCACGGGUGCGUAACGCGUAUGCAACCUACCUUUAACAGGGGGAUAGCCCGGAGAAAUCCGGAUUAAUACCCCAUAGAAUAUAAUUGUGGCCUCACAUUUAUAUUAAAGCUCCGGUGGUUAAAGAUGGGCAUGCGUGCCAUUAGCUAGUUGGUGAGGUAACGGCUCACCAAGGCGACGAUGGCUAGGGGUCCUGAGAGGGUUAUCCCCCACACUGGUACUGAGACACGGACCAGACUCCUACGGGAGGCAGCAGUAAGGAAUAUUGGGCAAUGGACGCAAGUCUGACCCAGCCAUGCCGCGUGCAGGAAGACGGCCUUAUGGGUUGUAAACUGCUUUUAUCAGGGAAUAAACCCUUGUUUGUAAACAAGGCUGAAGGUACCUGAAGAAUAAGCAUCGGCUAACUCCGUGCCAGCAGCCGCGGUAAUACGGAGGAUGCAAGCGUUAUCCGGAUUCAUUGGGUUUAAAGGGUGCGCAGGCGGGCUAAUAAGUCAGGGGUGAAAUACUACGGCUCAACCGUGGAACUGCCUUUGAUACUGUUAGUCUUGAGUAUAGUUGAAGUGGGCGGAAUGUAGCAUGUAGCGGUGAAAUGCAUAGAGAUGCUACAGAACACCGAUAGCGAAGGCAGCUCACUAAGUUAGUACUGACGCUCAUGCACGAAAGCGUGGGGAUCAAACAGGAUUAGAUACCCUGGUAGUCCACGCUGUAAACGAUGAUCACUCGUUGUUGGCGAUACACAGUCAGCGGCUAAGCGAAAGUGAUAAGUGAUCCACC
rnacentral:rRNA from 1 species